GACGAACGCUGGUGGCGUGCCUAAUACAUGCAAGUCGAGCGGAUCACACCUUCGGGUGUGGUUAGCGGCGGACGGGUGAGUAACACGUAGGUAACCUGCCUUUAAGACUGGGAUAACUAUCGGAAACGAUAGCUAAGACCGGAUAACUGAUUUUCUCGCAUGAGAGAAUCAUAAAACACGGAGCAAUCUGUGGCUUAGAGAUGGGCCUGCGGCGCAUUAGCUAGUUGGUGAGGUAACGGCUCACCAAGGCGACGAUGCGUAGCCGACCUGAGAGGGUGAACGGCCACACUGGGACUGAGACACGGCCCAGACUCCUACGGGAGGCAG
rnacentral:rRNA from 1 species